AAGUCGUAACAAGGUCUCCGUAGGUGAACCUGCGGAGGGAUCAUUACUGAGUGAGGGCUCACGCCCGACCUCCAACCCUUUGUGAACACAUCUCGUUGCUUCGGGGGCGACCCGGCCGGUGCCGGGCGCCCCCGGAGGUCUUCUCAACACUGCAUUUUUGCGUCCGAGUCUGAUACAAAUCAAACAAAACUUUCAACAACGGAUCUCUUGGUUCUG
rnacentral:misc_RNA from 1 species